rnacentral:rRNA from 1 species
UACGUAGGGGGCGAGCGUUGUCCGGAGUUACUGGGCGUAAAGGGCAUGCAGGCGGUCGGACGCGUUUCGGGUGACAGCGGGUGGCUUAACUACCCGAGUGGUCGAAAGACGGUUUGACUUGAGGACGCGAGAGGGACACGGAAUUCCGGGUGGAGUGGUGAAAUGCGUAGAUAUCUGGAGGAACACCGGUGGCGAAGGCGGCAUCCUGGACCAAUUCUGACGCUGAGGAGCGAAAGCUAGGGGAGCAAACGGG